UCCCUUCUGAAGCAGCACACGUGGUGGAAGAGGACAAGUGAUCCAUGUAGAAGAAAUGCACUGAUCUUUGGUCAAGGGUCAACAAUAGCUGCGCUCCCCUGCUAGAACUUCCAAACAAGUUCACCAUCUAGUUCUAGGAGUAGAAAUC
rnacentral:sRNA from 1 species